ANAUACACUCAUUCACUCUCAAUCAAAACUCUCUCAUCAUUCUCCCUUCUCUCAUUUGCUCUCUUGCUACUUAACAAAACAUUAAUAUUCCGGUUUCAUAUUUGAAGUUCAAGUUGAAGAUUAACUGAAGAAGGAUUUAUUUAUUUGUUUGAAUGUAUAUAUAUAUCUAUAUAUUUUUUUUUUUUUUUCGCUAUUUUAUUUAUUCGAAUGUUGUAACAAUUGUAACCCUAACGAUCAUAUAAUAAAUUUAUUUGGGGGUCGUCUAGGGGAGGGGGAUUUAUAUGCUUAUUUGUUCGUUAUAUUUUUUAGAAAUCAUGCCUAUAGGUUUGUCUUUAACCACCUAGAUUUAAUGUUUAUAGGUGUUAUAAUCUAAUCAAUUUUCAAUUUGCUUGACACUUUUGUUAAUAAAGUCUAAAAAUAAUAAACUAGAUUCCGUUAAUGUUAAAAGCAAAUCAUAGUAAUUUAAUAGGCCGAUUAGGUGUUUUUAAUAAUGUUAUAAUUUUAGCAUCAUCUUGUCAUGCAGAAACCAUGUCUAAGGUUUAAUUUGUUCAUAACAUUUAAAUUUACAAAAUUAGGCAUAUAUAUGUUAUUUUUUUUGAACACCUAGAAAUCAUGUCUAUAGGCUUGUAAAUAAACUCUUAACAUAUCCACAAAAAAAAUAGAACUUGUUUGUGCAUAUUUGUGCCCUCCCCCCAAAAUUAGUUAAUAUUAUUUCAUGAGUAAUCCCAUUCGUUUUCUUGAAGAUUUCCGCAUUCCUUGCAAUAUGUUAUUUUCUUAAAAUAAUACUAAAUUAGAAUCAUUUCAUGCAUUUAACUUGGCUUUAAAAAUAUUUCAUAUCAAAACCUUGUAAUUUUCUUAAAAAGUCAUUAUUCAAUCUUCCUUUAAAAUUUUGGAUUGAUUUUGACAUUGUUUAUUUUGAAAAUAAAUUAUAAGCACUAUCUCCUAACCUAUCGUUAGUGGGAAAGUCAAAGGAACUACGAGGUCUAGUUCCAAUUUUUAAACCCGACGCAUCCUCGGAAGUACCACCUACCCAUGAAUUUCAAAAAGAAUUAUGUGCAUUUAUAUGUAAAUGUUUAUGUGCCUACGUGUGAACUAAAUCUUUUAAAUCAUUUUUCAAAACAUAACUAUUUUUUAUACCGACCUCAAAUCAAAAUUGUUUCUAUGGUGGAGGAGCACGAUCAAUAAUAUCGUGGCAUCAUCCCUAUAAAGAAACAAACAUUUUUUAAAAUAAAAAAUUCAUAUUCAAAACUUGCUUAAUUUUCAAAACCUUACUUUCUCACAUAUUAAUAAUUUUGUUUAUAACUUAGUCUCAUGCUUAAAUAAAACUUGAUUGUUUAUUUAUUGCCAUCACCUAGCGUUGCAUGCUUAAAUUAAUAGUAUUAAUUGUUAUCAUUUAGUAAGAUUAAAUAAAUUAAUAAAUUAAACGACCUUGAUUGCUACUUGUACCCCCACAUAGAUUGCAUGAGAUACGGCCGGGACCCACACUUGU